GACGAACGCUGGCGGCGUGCUUAACACAUGCAAGUCGAACGGAAAGGCCCUGCUUUUGUGGGGUGCUCGAGUGGCGAACGGGUGAGUAACACGUGAGUAACCUGCCCUUGACUUUGGGAUAACUUCAGGAAACUGGGGCUAAUACCGGAUAGGAGCUCCUGCUGCAUGGUGGGGGUUGGAAAGUUUCGGCGGGUGGGGAUGGACUCGCGGCUUAUCAGCUUGUUGGUGGGGGAGUGGCUUACCAAGGCUUUGACGGGUAGCCGGCCUGAGAGGGUGACCGGCCACAUUGGGACUGGGAUACGGCCCAGACUCCUACGGGAGGCAGCAGUGGGGAAUAUUGCACAAUGGGCGGAAGCCUGAUGCAGCAACGCCGCGUGCGGGAUGACGGCCUUCGGGUUGUAAACCGCUUUCGCCUGUGACGAAGCGUGAGUGACGGUAAUGGGUAAAGAAGCACCGGCUAACUACGUG
rnacentral:rRNA from 1 species